rnacentral:rRNA from 1 species
GGGUGAUACGAAUCGGUAUUUGGAUCUACAUGUGAAUGUGUGUGUAGGCGGUCCCAUGAUGUUCGUAUCGAAUUUUGGGUUUCCUGAACCGCCACAGAGUCUGGGUGGAUCUCCUCGGACAAGAUCUUGGCUAUUGGGGGCAAUUUGGAGUGGUGAAGAACAAGAAUGGGCGGAUAUAUGGCGGCAGCAGUCGAAUGGGACACUUCCAUAUUGUCAUUCGUUUUACCCGGGCGGGUUUUUGCAGUCCAGCUCCACAUCGCAUGCUUCACCUUUCUUUACCCGAUGUAAAAGAUUUAGUCUUAUAAUGCUUGCCGUGGGACUUUUUUACGGACUUCCACCUAAAUCAUCAUUUUUCGUUUGUCUCACAAGAAAACUUAAUCCGAGACUCUGCGCGUGUGUGGCGGGCAGUGAGAGGGGAUGUGGCUUAAUUUGGUUGAUAGG